ACAUGCCUACAACAUAACGUUAAUGCACCGGAUCCCAUUAGAACUCCGCAGUUAAGCACGCUCAGGAUAGAGUAGUACUGGGAUGGGUGACCACUCGUGAAUUACUAGUGUUUUACAUGCC
rfam:Picea glauca, whole genome shotgun sequence.